ensembl:snRNA Gm23240 predicted gene, 23240
UUACUUACCUGGCAGGGGAGAUACCAUGAUCACGAAGGUGGUUUUCCCAGGGCGAGGCUUAUCCAUUGCACAUUCAGGUUCUUAUCACUGCAAUCCACCUCAUGGUCCUUGAGCUUUAAGC